rnacentral:rRNA from 1 species
UAGGGAAUAUUGGACAAUGGGGGCAACCCUGUUCCAGCCAUGCCGCGUGAGUGAAGAAGGCCCUCGGGUUGUAAAGCUCUUUUGUCCGGAAAGAAAAGCAUUCGGUGAAUACCCGGAUGUUCUGACGGUACCGGAAGAAUAAGCACCGGCUAACUUCGUGCCAGCAGCCGCGGUAAUACGAAGGGUGCAAGCGUUACUCGGAAUUACUGGGCGUAAAGCGUGCGUAGGUGGUUGUUUAAGUCUGAUGUGAAAGCCCUGGGCUCAACCUGGGAAUGGCAUUGGAAACUGGGCAGCUAGAGUGCGGUAGAGGGUAGUGGAAUUCCCGGUGUAGCAGUGAAAUGCGUAGAGAUCGGGAGGAACAUCCGUGGCGAAGGCGACUGCCUGGACCAGCACUGACACUGAGGCACGAAAGCGUGGGGAGCAAACA